AGGACGAACGCUGGCGGCGUGCUUAACACAUGCAAGUCGAGCGGUAAGGCUCCUUCGGGAGUACACGAGCGGCGAACGGGUGAGUAACACGUGAGCAAUCUGCCCUUCUCUUCGGAAUAACCAUUGGAAACGAUGGCUAAUGCCGAAUACGACCUCCUUUCGCAUGAUCGGAGGUGGAAAGCUCCGGCGGAGAAGGAUGAGCUCGCGGCCUAUCAGCUAGUUGGGCGGGUAACGGCCCACCAAGGCGACGACAGGU
rnacentral:rRNA from 1 species